GGGGCGGACGUAGCCAAGUGGACCAAGGCAGUGGAUUGUGAAUCCACCAUGCGCG
rnacentral:tRNA from 1 species